UACGUAGGGUGCAAGCGUUAAUCGGAAUUACUGGGCGUAAAGCGUGCGCAGGCGGUUCGCUAAGGCAGAUGUGAAAUCCCCGGGCCUAACCUGGGAACUGCAUUUGUGACUGGCGGGCUAGAGUAUGGCAGAGGGGGGUAGAAUUCCACGUGUAGCAGUGAAAUGCGUAGAGAUGUGGAGGAAUACCGAUGGCGAAGGCAGCCCCCUGGGCCAAUACUGACGCUCAUGCACGAAAGCGUGGGGAGCAAACAGG
rnacentral:rRNA from 1 species